UACGUAGGCAGCAAGCGUUGUUCGGAAUUACUGGGCGUAAAGAGUGUGUAGGCGGUGUCCUAAGUCUGUUGUGAAAUCUCCCGGCUUAACUGGGAGGGUGCGGCGGAGACUGGAAUGCUAGAGUGUGGGAGAGGUAAGCGGAAUUCCUGGUGUAGCGGUGAAAUGCGUAGAUAUCAGGAGGAACACCUGUGGUGUAGACAGCUUACUGGACCACGACUGACGCUGAGACACGAAAGCGUGGGUAGCAAACAGG
rnacentral:rRNA from 1 species